GGGGCUUUGUUGUGGAGGUUUUGUAUCGGCGGUUCUCAGUGAUGCUGUAAGUUCAGUGUUGAUGCUGCUGUUGGGAGCACGUUUAAGCACAAAAAAAUCCCUCAUUGAGCCAUAACUGGAUGAAUGGGGUCCUUGUGGCACCUGCUUCUGUUCUUCAUCUGUGGUGGGGUGACCUGGAAAGGGACUGUAUGGGAGAUAGGAUCCAAAGGACCCCAAAAGGUUAUCCAGGCCCCAAGGCAGGAUCAGCUAGACUGAAAACUGGAAUUCUUGGUCCAAAGGAUCAGCCAAGAUGGAAAACACCCAUCUUCUGCUGAAGAGAAGUGAGCCAGGGGCAGCUCCGCACCUCUCCAACGCGAUUAGCAAACCGGACAUGAACCGCUUCAUUAAAGCCAAAUAACCCCGAGCAACCACAUCAUUAUAAAAGACCCAGGAAAUCCUAUCACCAGGCAGAGCAGCAGUGUCCCCCCUCCCCCUCCACUUGAAGAAAUCCCUUUGCCAUUUUCAGACUGGAGACCUUCUGUUCUUCUCUAGCAAAGUACCAGUUCUGCACGCAACAGAUUUCUCCACUCAGCAUCUUUGGGACACCCGUCGAUCAAUGACAGGGAAUUUGAGUCCCCAUUUCCCAACAGCUCUUGAGGACCCUCCACCACUGAGUUCACCCUCUCUGUGGGAAGAGGUGGGACUGCAAGAGCUCAGUGAUGGCUUUUCAAAGCUGAAGCAGAAGCAAAGCUGCUGAAAGGUAAGUAAUAAAAGGCCUAUAAAAUU